rnacentral:rRNA from 1 species
AUUGAACGCUGGCGGCAUGCCUUACACAUGCAAGUCGAACGGUAACAGGUCUUCGGAUGCUGACGAGUGGCGAACGGGUGAGUAAUACAUCGGAACGUGCCCGAGAGUGGGGGAUAACGAGGCGAAAGCUUUGCUAAUACCGCAUACGAUCUCAGGAUGAAAGCAGGGGACCGCAAGGCCUUGCGCUCACGGAGCGGCCGGUGGCAGAUUAGGUAGUUGGUGGGAUAAAAGCUUACCAAGCCGACGAUCUGUGGCUGGUCUGAGAGGACGACCAGCCACACUGGGACUGAGACACGGCCCAGACUCCUACGGGAGGCAGCAGUGGGGAAUUUUGGACAAUGGGCGCAAGCCUGAUCCAGCCAUGCCGCGUGCAGGAUGAAGGCCUUCGGGUUGUAAACUGCUUUUGUACGGAACGAAAAGACUCUGGUUAAUACCUGGGGUCCAUGACGGUACCGUAAGAAUAAGCACCGGCUAACUACGUGCCAGCCGCCGCGGUAACAC